rnacentral:rRNA from 1 species
AUGCACGCUGGCGGCGUGCUUAACACAUGCAAGUCGCACGAAGCAUUUAGGACAGAUUACUUCGGUUUGAAGUUCUUUAUGACUGAGUGGCGGACGGGUGAGUAACGCGUGGGUAACCUGCCUUGUACUGGGGGAUAGCAGCUGGAAACGGCUGGUAAUACCGCAUAAGCGCACAAUGUUGCAUGACAUGGUGUGAAAAACUCCGGUGGUAUAAGAUGGACCCGCGUCUGAUUAGCUAGUUGGUGAGAUAACAGCCCACCAAGGCGACGAUCAGUAGCCGACCUGAGAGGGUGACCGGCCACAUUGGGACUGAGACACGGCCCAGACUCCUACGGGAGGCAGCAGUGGGGAAUAUUGCACAAUGGAGGAAACUCUGAUGCAGCGACGCCGCGUGAGUGAAGAAGUAAUUCGUUAUGUAAAGCUCUAUCAGCAGGGAAGAUAGUGACGGUACCCGACUAAGAAGCUCCGGCUAAAUACGUG